AUACGGAUUUAGGUGUCAAAAAGAAUUCUAUACCAUGAGAUGGCGCAUUGAUUUUUUUACCUUUUGUGAGAUUUAGGAAAAAUGUACGAAUGAUAUACUUAAAGGUCAAAGCACUGAGCGUACUUGUACUUUGUUUUUUUAACCAAGCAUGAACCAUCCAGGUUUGAGUGGCAGUAAGGUGAAGACACAUUUCACAACUGUUAUGACAGCGCCAUCAUCAGCAUCAGACCUUGUCAGCCUGUUUGAAUGUCCUGUCUGUUUUGAGUUUGUUCUGCCUCCUAUUCUUCAGUGUCAAAAUGGACAUCUUGUGUGCUCAACUUGUCGCCAGAAAAUCACCUGCUGCCCAACGUGUAGGGCACCAAUUGGUAACAUCAGGAAUCUUGCUAUGGAAAAGGUGGCCAGUAACAUCUUUUAUGGUGAUUACAGGUAACAUCAGGAAUCUUGCUAUGGAAAAGGUGGCCAGUAACAUCUUUUAUGGUGAUUACAGGUAACAUCAGGAACCUUGCUAUGGAAAAGGUGGCCAGUAACAUCUUUUAUGGUGAUUACAGGUAACAUCAGGAAUCUUGCUAUGGAAAAGGUGGCCAGCACAGUAAUGUUUCCUUGCAAAUAUUCAGCUUCAGGCUGCAAUGCUCAGCUGUUACACACAGAUAAACAGGAUCAUGAAGAAAUAUGUGAAUUCAGGUAAGUUUUGUUCAUUUAAAAUGUUUUUUACAAGACCUAAAGCUGUGGUUCUCAAACUUUUUGUUGUCAUAAACCUGAAUUUUAUUUUAGUUAAUCUCUGUGGACUGCAGUCAAAUGUGUUGCAUCCUUGUGCUGUUGCUUCCUUUCUGUAAUUAUACCACCUUUCCAUGUAUUGCAGAUUGAGAACCGGUUACCUAGAGUGCAUAUUUUAUUUUCCGAAGAUAUA